rnacentral:rRNA from 1 species
AGCGAACGCUGGCGGCAGGCUUAACACAUGCAAGUCGAACGGGCGUAGCGAAUACGUCAGUGGCAGACGGGUGAGUAACGCGUGGGAACGUACCUUUUGGUUCGGAACAACCCAGGGAAACUUGGGCUAAUACCGGGAUAAGCCCCUUACGGGGAAAGAUUUAUCGCCGAAAGAUCGGCCCGCGUCUGAUUAGCUAGUUGGUGUGGUAACGGCGCACCAAGGCGACGAUCAGUAGCUGGUCUGAGAGGAUGAUCAGCCACAUUGGGACUGAGACACGGCCCAAACUCCUACGGGAGGCAGCAGUGGGAAUAUUGGACAAUGGGCGCAAGCCUGAUCCAGCCAUGCCGCGUGAGUGAUGAAGG